GUCAAAGCAUUUCACAAAAUCUAUCGCAUCUAUUUCUUGCCUUUUACCAGAAAUAGCCGUUUGUGAGGUGUGUGAAUUUGACUGUACAAUUUUUGCUACUGUUUCCCUAACGGGGGACU
rnacentral:snRNA from 21 species